UGACAGAUAAGUGAAUGCCCUUCCUAGA
rnacentral:sRNA from 1 species